AAUCACUUUUACCUGUGGCUGGUGAAGACAGCAGCAACAGACAAUUCUGUUUUUAAGCAUUUCUCAUUUGCAAGGGAUCCAAAAAGUUUCCGCAACUAGAAUCUCUUGUAUUUUCUAAAAUUGACAUCCUGCAUAGUUUUUGACAGAAUCUGGGACAGAAUGCUUCACGAAGUUAUCUGGAAAGGAAGUUGGCUCAUGUCUUGAGAGAACAUAGAAAAGGGGUUUCUACCUGAUUUUGACCAGACAGAAGACAGUCUUCUUCACUAUGACCUAGUGAAUUCUUUAAUAGAACAUGCCAUAGAAACAGUGGACAAAUGAACAAUGGACAAAAAAGGAAUGCAUACAUCUUGUGGACACAUUUAAUGGUACUAAUGUGAAUAUGUAUGGUGUUUCA